GGACGAUUACACGUAUACAAUCGGCAGACUAUUUGACAUACACGCUCAGUUACAGCAUUGCGACUAGGGCACUAGUUGGGAAGUAAGUGUCCGCAGCAUACGGCAUUUUGCCGUUUCAAUGUUGUGAUUCGUACGGCAUGAUAGACGUCAGGUCUUCAACGCACCGUUAGCGUUACGCCAGUGCUACAUGAGCAUCCGCAAGUCUACAGGUCGUCAUACUCGUUGACAGUACCUACGACACCUCGUUAUAAGGCGGCAAUACUGGGAACCGUUCGCACCGGUAUACGGCCGGUCACGUGAUACGUCUCAAAUACGUUCUACUUCCAGGCAUAGUCUGCUCGGUGUUUGACAGAACACUACUUCCGGGCUUGAUACAGCUCGGGUAUCGCAGUCUUCUUCCGGGCAUAGUCUGCUCGGGUAUCUACAGUCUACUUCUGGGCUUGAUACUGCUCUGGUAUCUACAGUCUACUUCUGGGCUUGAUACAGCUCGGGUAUCUACAGUCUACUUCUGGGCUUGAUACAGCUCGGGUAUCUACAGUCUACUUCUGGCCUUGAUACAGCUCGGGUAUCUACAGUCUUUUUCUAGGCUUGAUACAGCUCGGGAUAUCUGCACAAUACUUUCGGGCUUUAUACAGCUCGAAGUUUGCUACUUCGCAGAACACUACGACCGAUGCUCAGUUCUGGUCAUUGGCGGCUGGACAUAAGUUCAGGUCGUGACACUCAAUACUACUCCACCACUACAUCUACCGUUCGAAUUUAUCAUCUACAAAUGGACUACGUCAAAUAAUACUUGAAUAUUGGAAUUUUAACUGGCCAUUAACUUUGAUACUUUGUUGUUUAUUUCUUUUUAUAGUCCUUUCAUAUUGUAAAUAGUUUAUUUUAAUGUUGUAAAUAAAUUGAUUUAUUGUU